GAGUUUGAUCCUGGCUCAGAACGAACGCUGGCGGCACGCUUAACACAUGCAAGUCGAACGAGUGUUAUUGGGGCUUGCUCCGGUAACAUUAGUGGUGCACGGGUGAGUAAUACGUGGGAAUCUGCCCUUUGGUGGGGGACAACUCUGGGAAACUAGAGCUAAUACCGCAUAAUCUCGAGAGAGAAAAGAUUUAUCGCCGAAGGAUGAGCCCGCGCCUGAUUAGGUAGUUGGUAGGGUAAAGGCCUACCAAGCCUAUGAUCAGUAGCUGGUCUGAGAGGAUGGUCAGCCACACUGGAACUGAGAUACGGUCCAGACUCCUACGGGAGGCAGCAGUGGGGAAUAUUGGACAAUGGGGGAAACCCUGAUCCAGCGAUGCCGCGUGAAUGAUGAAGGCCCUCGGGUUGUAAAGUUCUUUUAACAGGAAAGAUAAUGACGGUACCUGUUGAAUAAGCUCCGGCUAACUCCGUGCCAGCAGCCGCGGUAAUACGGAGGGAGCUAGCGUUGUUCGGAAUUACUGGGCGUAAAGGGCAUGUAGGCGGCUUGAUAAGUUAGGCGUUAAAGACCUGGGCUUAACCUGGGGGGUGCGCUUAAUACUGUUGGGCUAGAGGAUGGAAGAGGAAAGUAGAAUUCCCGGUGUAGAGGUGGCAUUCGUAGAUAUCGGGAGGAAUACCAGUGGCGAAGGCGGCUUUCCGGUCCAUAUCUGACGCUGAGGUGCGAAAGCGUGGGGAGCAAACAGAAUUAGAUACUCUGGUAGUCCACGCUGUAAACGAUGGAAGCUAGAUGUCGGGGCGAAAGUUUCGGUAUUGCAGCUAACGCGUUAAGCUUCCCGCCUGGGGAGUACGGUCGCAAGAUUAAAACUCAAAGGAAUUGACGGGGACCCGCACAAGCGGUGGAGCAUGUGGUUUAAUUCGAAGCUACGCGCAGAACCUUACCCGCUCUUGACAUGGAGGUCGAGGAUCAGAGAGAUCAGAUCCGUCAGUUCGGCUGGACCUCACACAGGUGCUGCAUGGCUGUCGUCAGCUCGUGUCGUGAGAUGUUGGGUUAAGUCCCGCAACGAGCGCAACCCUUAUCUAUAGUUGUCAGCAGUUCGGCUGGAUACUCUAUAGAGACCGCCGCUGAUAAAGCGGAGGAAGGCGGGGAUGACGUCAAGUCCUCAUGGCCCUUAUGGGCGGGGCUACACACGUGCUACAAUGGUGGUUACAAUGGGCAGCGAAAGGGCAACCUGGAGCAAAUCUCAAAAAAGCCAUCUCAGUUCAGAUUGCACUCUGCAACUCGAGUGCAUUAAGUCGGAAUCGCUAGUAAUCGCAGAUCAGCACGCUGCGGUGAAUACGUUCCCGGGUCUUGUACACACCGCCCGUCACACCAUGGGAGUUGGUUUUACCUUAAGCCGGUGGGCUAACCGCAAGGGGGGGCAGCCGAUCACGGUAGGAUCAGCGACUGGGGUGAAGUCGUAACAAGGUAGCCGUA
rnacentral:rRNA from 1 species